CCUACGGGAGGCAGCAGUGAGGAAUAUUGGUCAAUGGACGCAAGUCUGAACCAGCCAAGUAGCGUGCAGGAUGACGGCCCUAUGGGUUGUAAACUGCUUUUAUGUGGGAAUAAAUUGGCGCACGUGUGCGCCAUUGCAUGUACCUCAUGAAUAAGGACCGGCUAAUUCCGUGCCAGCAGCCGCGGUAAUACGGAAGGUCCGGGCGUUAUCCGGAUUUAUUGGGUUUAAAGGGAGUGUAGGCGGUCUGUUAAGCGUGUUGUGAAAUUUAGGUGCUCAACAUUUAACUUGCAGCGCGAACUGUCAGACUUGAGUACACGCAGCGCAGGCGGAAUUCAUGGUGUAGCGGUGAAAUGCUUAGAUAUCAUGAGGAACUCCGAUCGCGAAGGCAGCCUGCGGGAGUGUUACUGACGCUUAAGCUCGAAGGUGCGGGUAUCGAACAGGAUUAGAUACCCUAGUAGUC
rnacentral:rRNA from 1 species